rnacentral:rRNA from 1 species
GACGUAGGGCGCGAGCGUUGUCCGGAUUAUUGGGCGUAAAGAGCUCGUAGGCGGCUUGUUGCGUCGGCUGUGAAAACCCGCGGCUUAACCGGCGGGCCUGCAGCCGAUACGGGCAGGCUAGAGUUCGGUAGGGGAGACGUGGAAUUCCUGGUGUAGGCGGUGAAAUGCGCAGAUAUCAGGAGGAACACCGGUGGCGAAGGCGGUGGUCUGGGCCGGUACUGACGCUGAGGAGCGAAAGCGUGGGGAGCGAACAGG